rnacentral:rRNA from 1 species
GAUGAACGCUGGCGGCGUGCUUAACACAUGCAAGUCGAACGGACAGGCCCGGCUUUUGUGGGGUUCUCGAUUGGCGCACGGGUGAGUGAAACACGAGUAUCAUGCCCUUGUCUUUCUGAUAUCUUCACGAGACUGGGGCUCAUACCGGAUAGGAUCUCCUGCUGCAUGUGGGGGGUUGGAAAGUUACGGCGGUUGGGGAUGGACUCGAGGCUUAUCCGCUUGUUGGUGGGGUAGUGGCGUACCAAGGCUUUGACGGGUAGGCGGCCUGGGAGGGUGACCGGCGACAAUGGGACUGAGAUACGGCCCAGACUCCUACGGGAGGCAGUAGUGGGGAAUAUUGCACAAUGGGCGGAAGCCUGAUGCAGCAACGCCGCGUGCGGGAUGCCGGCCUUCGGGUUGUAAACCGCUGUCGCAUGUGACGAAGCGUGAGUGACGGUAAUGGGUAAAGAAGCACCGGCUAACUACGUG